AGAUUGAACGCUGGCGGCAGGCCUAACACAUGCAAGUCGAGCGGCAGCACGGGUACUUGUACCUGGUGGCGAGCGGCGGACGGGUGAGUAAUGCCUAGGAAUCUGCCUGGUAGUGGGGGAUAACGCUCGGAAACGGACGCUAAUACCGCAUACGUCCUACGGGAGAAAGCAGGGGACCUUCGGGCCUUGCGCUAUCAGAUGAGCCUAGGUCGGAUUAGCUAGUUGGUGAGGUAAUGGCUCACCAAGGCGACGAUCCGUAACUGGUCUGAGAGGAUGAUCAGUCACACUGGAACUGAGACACGGUCCAG
rnacentral:rRNA from 1 species